rnacentral:rRNA from 1 species
CAGCCGCCGCGGGAAUACGUAGGUGGCAAGCGUUGUCCGGAAUUAUUGGGCGUAAAGGGCUCGCAGGCGGUUUCUUAAGUCUGAUGUGAAAGCCCCCGGCUCAACCGGGGAGGGUCAUUGGAAACUGGGAAACUUGAGUGCAGAAGAGGGGAGUGGAAUUCCACGUGUAGCGGUGAAAUGCGUAGAGAUGUGGAGGAACACCAGUGGCGAAGGCGACUCUCUGGUCUGUAACUGACGCUGAGGAGCGAAAGCGUGGGGAGCGAACAGGAUUAGAUACCCCUGUAGUCCCUGUCUCUUAUAU